AUUGAACGCUAGCGGCAGGCCUAACACAUGCAAGUCGAGCGAGCGGCGGACGGGUGAGUAAUGUAUGGGGACUGCCCGAUAGAGGGGGAUAACUACUGGAAACGGUAGCUAAUACCGCAUACUAUCGGAUAACCCAUAUGGGAUUAGCUAGUAGGUGAGGUAACGGCUCGCGUAGGCAACGCUCCCUAGCUGGUCUGAGCGGAUGAUCAGGCAGACGGGGAAUAAGACAGGGCCCAGACUCCCACGGAGGCAGCAGUGGGGAAUAUUGCACAAUGGGCGCAAGCCUGAUGCAGCCAUGCCGCGUGUAUGAAGAAGGCCCUAGGGUUGUAAAGUACUUUCAGUCGGGAGGCGUUACCGACAGAAGAAGCACCGGCUAAAUCCGUGCCAGCAGGCGCGGUAAUUC
rnacentral:rRNA from 1 species